AGUGAACGCUGGCGGUAGGCCUAACACAUGCAAGUCGAACGGCAGCACAGUAAGAGCUUGCUCUUACGGGUGGCGAGUGGCGGACGGGUGAGGAAUACAUCGGAAUCUACUUUUUCGUGGGGGGUAACGUAGGGAUACUUACGCUAAUACCGCAUACGACCUACGGGUGAAAGCAGGGGAUCUUCGGACCUUGCGCGAUUGAAUGAGCCGAUGUCGGAUUAGCUAGUUGGCGGGGUAAAGGCCCACCAAGGCGACGAUCCGUAGCUGGUCUGAGAGGAUGAUCAGCCACACUGGAACUGAGACACGGUCCAGACUCCUACGGGAGGCAGCAGUGGGGAAUAUUGGACAAUGGGCGCAAGCCUGAUCCAGCCAUACCGCGUGGGUGAAGAAGGCCUUCGGGUUGUAAAGCCCUUUUGUUGGGAAAGAAAAGCAGCAGGUUAAUACCCCGCUGUUCUGACGGUACCCAAAGAAUAAGCACCGGCUAACUUCGUG
rnacentral:rRNA from 1 species